rnacentral:rRNA from 1 species
UAGGGAAUCUUCGGCAAUGGACGAAAGUCUGACCGAGCAACGCCGCGUGAGUGAAGAAGGUUUUCGGAUCGUAAAACUCUGUUGGUAGAGAAGAACGUUGGUGAGAGUGGAAAGCUCAUCAGUGACGGUAACUACCCAGAAAGGGACGGCUAACUACGUGCCAC